rnacentral:rRNA from 1 species
UACGAAGGGUGCAAACGUUGCUCGGAAUCAUUGGGCGUAAAGCGCACGUAGGCGGCCUCAUAAGUCGGAUGUGAAAUCCCUCGGCUCAACCGAGGACGUGCAUACGAAACUGCGAGGCUCGAGUAUGGAAGAGGGUCGCGGAAUUCCCGGUGUAGAGGUGAAAUUCGUAGAUAUCGGGAGGAACACCAGUGGCGAAGGCGACUACCUGGCCUGUUCUUGACGCUGAGGCGCGAAAGCUAGGGGAGCAAACGGG